GAUGAACGCUGGCGGCGUGCCUAAUACAUGCAAGUCGAGCGAACAGACGAGGAGCUUGCUCCUCUGACGUUAGCGGCGGACGGGUGAGUAACACGUGGAUAACCUACCUAUAAGACUGGGAUAACUUCGGGAAACCGGAGCUAAUACCGGAUAAUAUAUUGAACCGCAUGGUUCAAUAGUUAAAGACGGUUUUGCUGUCACUUAUAGAUGGAUCCGCGCGGCAUUAGCUAGUUGGUAAGGUAACGGCUUACCAAGGCAACGAUGCGUAGCCGACCUGAGAGGGUGAUCGGCCACACUGGAACUGAGACACGGUCCAGACUCCUACGGGAGGCAGCAGUAGGGAAUCGUCCGCAAUGGGCGAAAGCCUGACGGAGCAACGCCGCGUGAGUGAUGAAGGUCUUCGGAUCGUAAAACUCUGUUAUUAGGGAAGAACAAAUGUGUAAGUAACUAUGCACGUCUUGACGGUACCUAAUCAGAAAGCCACGGCUAACUACGUG
rnacentral:rRNA from 1 species